GGUUAAGUUAGAAAGGGCGCACGGUGGAUGCCUUGACACUAGGAGUCGAUGAAGGACGGGACUAACGCCGAUAUGCUUCGGGGAGCUGUAAGUAAGCUUUGAUCCGAAGAUUUCCGAAUGGGGAAACCCACUAUACGUAAUGGUAUGGUAUCCUUACCUGAAUACAUAGGGUAUGGAAGACAGACCCAGGGAACUGAAACAUCUAAGUACCUGGAGGAAGAGAAAGCAAAUGCGAUUUCCUGAGUAGCGGCGAGCGAAACGGAAUCUAGCCCAAACCAAGAGGCUUGCCUCUUGGGGUUGUAGGACAUUCUAUACGGAGUUACAAAGGAACGAGGUAGACGAAGCGACCUGGAAAGGUCCGUCGUAGAGGGUAACAACCCCGUAGUCGAAACUUCGUUCUCUCUUGAAUGUAUCCUGAGUACGGCGGAACACGUGAAAUUCCGUCGGAAUCUGGGAGGACCAUCUCCCAAGGCUAAAUACUCCCUAGUGAUCGAUAGUGAACCAGUACCGUGAGGGAAAGGUGAAAAGCACCCCGGAAGGGGAGUGAAAGAGAUCCUGAAACCGUGUGCCUACAAAUAGUCAGAGCCCGUUAAUGGGUGAUGGCGUGCCUUUUGUAGAAUGAACCGGCGAGUUACGAUCCCGUGC
rnacentral:rRNA from 1 species